CCUUGUUGGCGGGGUAACGGCCCACCAAGGCAACGAUCAGUAGGGGUUCUGAGAGGAAGGUCCCCCACAUUGGAACUGAGACACGGUCCAAACUCCUACGGGAGGCAGCAGUGAGGAAUAUUGGUCAAUGGACGAGAGUCUGAACCAGCCAAGUAGCGUGCAGGAAGACGGCCCUAUGGGUUGUAAACUGCUUUUAUAAGGGAAUAAAGUGAGAGUCGUGACUCUUUUUGCAUGUACCUUAUGAAUAAGGACCGGCUAAUUCCGUGCCAGCAGCCGCGGUAAUACGGAAGGUCCGGGCGUUAUCCGGAUUUAUUGGGUUUAAAGGGAGCGUAGGCCGGAGAUUAAGCGUGUUGUGAAAUGUAGACGCUCAACGUCUGCACUGCAGCGCGAACUGGUUUCCUUGAGUACGCACAAAGUGGGCGGAAUUCGUGGUGUAGCGGUGAAAUGCUUAGAUAUCACGAAGAACUCCGAUUGCGAAGGCAGCUCACUGGAGCGCAACUGACGCUGAAGCUCGAAAGUGCGGGUAUCGAACAGGAUUAGAUACCCUGGUAGUCCGCACGGUAAACGAUGGAUGCCCGCUGUUGGUCUGAAUAGGUCAGCGGCCAAGCGAAAGCAUUAAGCAUCCCACCUGGGGAGUACGCCGGCAACGGUGAAACUCAAAGGAAUUGACGGGGGCCCGCACAAGCGGAGGAACAUGUGGUUUAAUUCGAUGAUACGCGAGGAACCUUACCCGGGCUUGAAUUGCAGAGGAAGGAUUUGGAGACAAUGACGCCCUUCGGGGCCUCUGUGAAGGUGCUGCAUGGUUGUCGUCAGCUCGUGCCGUGAGGUGUCGGCUUAAGUGCCAUAACGAGCGCAACCCCUCUCCUUAGUUGCCAUCAGGUUAAGCUGGGCACUCUGGGGACACUGCCACCGUAAGGUGUGAGGAAGGUGGGGAUGACGUCAAAUCAGCACGGCCCUUACGUCCGGGGCUACACACGUGUUACAAUGGCAGGUACAGAGAGACGGUCCCUUGCAAAACGGAUCAAAUCCUUAAAGCCUGUCUCAGUUCGGACUGGGGUCUUCAACCCGACCCCACGAAGCUGGAUUUGCUAGUAAUCGCGCAUCAGCCAUGGCGCGGUGAAUACGUUCCCGGGCCUUGUACACACCGCCCGUCAACCCAAAAGCCGGGGGCGCCUAAAGUCCGUGACCGUAAGGAGCGGCCUAGGGCGAAACUGGUAAUUGGGGCUAAGUCGUAACAAGGUA
rnacentral:rRNA from 1 species